UACGUAGGGGGCUAGCGUUGUCCGGAUUUAUUGGGCGUAAAGAGCGUGUAGGCGGCCAGGUAGGACUGCUGUGAAAACUCGAGGCUCAACCUCGAGACGUCGGCGGAAACCAUCUGGCUAGAGUCCGGAAGAGGAGAGUGGAAUUCCUGGUGUAGCGGUGAAAUGCGCAGAUAUCAGGAGGAACACCUGUGGCGAAAGCGGCUCACUGGACCACAACUGACGCUGAGGCGCGAAAGCUAGGGGAGCAAACAGG
rnacentral:rRNA from 1 species